UGUCCUCCAGCCGUUGCACUGGGGUGACUGCCGGCCUGGCGCUGCCAAGGCCCCCGCCACUCGGGCAUCCCCAGACGACCCCCGCGGCGCCGCCACCAAGCCCGGACCUUCUCUUCUUCCCCCAGCACCGAGGCCCACCCAGUCUCCACCAACCCUGGCUCUGCUCAUGCUCACGCGACUGGACUCGUGGCCUCACCGCUGUCCAGCAUCCUUUCCGAGCACAGCAGACGCGGAGGAGGCGCUGCCAAAACCCCUACAACAGAGCCUAGUGGAGGCCACGGGAGGAGGGGGACCGACGUAGAGCAAGGUCGGGAGAUGGGUCGGGACCGCGCAGUGCCUUCCAAGGGGCUGCUUGAGUGGCUUCGACCCAGGCUCGGCCUUGGACUACGAAGUGACCUUGGGCCAGUUCCCUCCACUCCUGGGUCCUCGGUUCCCUUCUGUAAAAUCGCGCCAGCAGUGAACGAGGAGUGCCGAAGGUUUCGCCUGGAGCCACGCCGCCGCGUGAUCAACCCUGGGCCUCCCGUGGUGAUUAUAAAGGACCUUGUUCCUGGAGGCGUGCACGGAGGAAGCGGGAGGCCAUCAGAGGGUGACGGGUGCAGACCACCUGGGAUAUCAAUCGGUCCAUCUCUGCUUCCUCUUCGGCCGCAGGGCUGCCUAGAGGACACGAUGUCCCUUCCCCACCCGCCUUCCAAGGAGCCGGCUCAGUAGCCGCGCCGGUCUAACCCAAACCCAGCAGAUAGCGCUGGUGUGCAGCACCCGAGCUACCGCGCUGAAGACCCUCUUACCCCACAACGAGCCGGCAGGGGGCUCCGCGGCAAGGGCUGGACCGGUGCGCUCGUCUGACCCCGGAGCUGUGCAGGUGCUCGCGCUUCUGGCUUGGAGUUGGCGCGUUGCCUCUGUUUCUCAAGACCCUCUCCGGACCCCUAAAACUGCGGCCUCCUGCUUCUGACACCCGGAUGUGCCUAACACACUCCGGUACGUGCGUUAAGGCUGCGCCGGGCGGGGCCCGACGGCAGACAGCGCGGAGGCGGGGAGUGCUUAGGCGCAGCCUCCUUAGCCCUCCUUAUUCCGGCCUGGCUCUGCUCCAGUCAAGGGUGCCCCUAAUCUCUAGACGCCCCGGAGGUAAACCUGCUCAUGCAGGUCCAUCCUGAUCCAAGCCUGGUACAGAUCCUCGCUGCCGUAUGAUCUUCGCUUCCUGGGUCCUGGUGGGGAGGCAAAAGGUGCGAGAAGGUUUCAGCCCCCAGCCCACCCCCAAAACCAGGGCGCCCGUGCCGCUCCAGGAAGUGAAGAAACCGUGUGGAGGACAAGACUCCUUCCAGGUCUUUUGAGUGUUUGCUGUCUUUAAAGCUUAUCGGAACUAAAUGGUUAGUUGAUUGACUUUUGAAUGUCAUUUAACGAAACGACACUUAAUUUUUCUCUCCUGAGGGUCUUUUAACAUAUCGCAGUUUCCCAAGGUUUCACCAAUAGAACUAUGCGCGUGGUCUGCAGGGGCAGUCAGCCAUAAAUGAACUCUCCUCAGAUCCCACUACCUCGAGACACCUGUUUCCAGGAUGAGAAACAGGCUGAAGAACGACACCAGCAUCUAUUAGCGAUGAGCUAUGUUUAGACAAAUGACGUAAGGACUGCGUAGAAAGGGACUAGACAAAUCAACGUCCCGGGGAAGUAUGGGGACAAUGGGGGAUCGAGGCUUUAAGAAAGCUGCCAGCCCUGUCCGUGGAUCUUGAGGGCUGAGGCUGCGUGUUCCCUUUUUAUGCCCCUCUUCUGGCACUCAUAGCGCCGAAGACCGGGAGAAUCCUGAAAAGAGAACACGUUGGUUCUCUGAGCCCAUUUCACAGACUCAGUUGACUCAGAAUGUCGCCCAGUAGAUGGCGCUGUGAUCCAUAGCAAUAAAUCUCUUUACUGUAAACAGGCAACUAUUUUAAUCCCUGCACUUACUCGGGAGACAGAGGGAGGCAGACCUCUGAGUUCAAGACUAGUCUGAUGUGCAGAGUGAGUUCCGGGGCAGCCAGUGAUACACAGAGAAACCCAGUCUCAAAAACCAAAAACAACAAUAAAUAAAUAAACAAGUCAUCCAACCCCCC
rnacentral:lncRNA from 1 species